ACUGGGUGGAAGCCCCUGAAUUAUAGUCUUUGGUUGGGGUGACCUCAGAGCAUAAAAUAACCUCCGAAUGAAUAUAACCUAGAUCAACGAAUCUAAGUGUAACGAUACCAGUAAUUGACCCAUCUCUUGAUCAACGGAACAAGUUACCCCAGGGAUAACAGCGCAAUCCUAUUUGAGAGCCCAUAUCGAAAAUUAGGGUUUACGACCUCGAUGUUGGAUCAGGACACCCAAAUGGUGCAACCACUAUUAAAGGUUCGUUUGUUCAAUGAUUAAAGUCCUACGUGAUCUGAGUUCAGACUGGAGAAAUCCAGGUCGGUUUCUAUCUGU
rnacentral:ncRNA from 1 species